rnacentral:rRNA from 1 species
UACGAAGGGUGCAAGCGUUAAUCGGAAUUACUGGGCGUAAAGCGCACGUAGGCGGAUAUUUAAGUCAGGGGUGAAAUCCCAGAGCUCAACUCUGGAACUGCCUUUGAUACUGGGUAUCUUGAGUAUGGAAGAGGUAAGUGGAAUUGCGAGUGUAGAGGUGAAAUUCGUAGAUAUUCGCAGGAACACCAGUGGCGAAGGCGGCUUACUGGUCCAUAACUGACGCUGAGGUGCGAAAGCGUGGGAGCAAACAGG